rnacentral:tRNA from 1 species
GGAUUGUGGCUCAGUGGUAGAGCACUUGCCUAGCAUGUGUGAGGCACUGGGUUCAAUUCUCAGCACCA